AGUCAGUGCUCUUAACCGCUGAGCCAUCUCACCAGCCCCAGAUAGCCUCAAGACAACCUCUAACUUUGGCAGAGGGUGUACAUUCCUGUCUCAGCCCUCAAGACUCCACACUUCAGCUACAGAAGAGCCAUAGGAGCAGUUAACCAUGGAGCCAGCUCCCUAGUCCUUUGAUUAAAGCGUUGAGCAUCACAUACAAGGUCCUGCAGAAGAGUCGGCUAGCCAGAGGAGUUUCUAGGUUCUCAGCAUGAGUUGCCCAUGAUGAUCUUAUCCUCCUCUUCCUACAGUCUCCUCUCUUGGAAAGAAGAGGAAAAGAAGCAGAGAUGGAAUUGGUGACGUUGGGGUAGCAAUUAGAGAAAGGUACAUCAAGGUUAACACGGAAGAAGUCAGCUCACAGAGGAGACCAGAAACCCUUCCCUGGCAUCUUCUAACAGAGCAUGCUUCAUGAAAUACCAAUGCAGGGAACACAGAAGAUUGUUCAUCUCACUAGCAGUUAAUUUUGGUGUCUUUCCUUAUGUCACUACCCUGUGUUCAUUCUCAGGAGUGCCUCUGCUUUGCUUUAAAAAGGUAUCUCUCUUUCUACUUCAAGCCUCAUUUAGAAGGAAGACUUUUUCUUCCUACUGAUGACUUUUGAGGUUUGCAAUGAACCUGUAUCAUGUUUAUCCUCUAAACGCUAAUAAAAUUGUCCUGAGUCUGUUU